rnacentral:tRNA from 1 species
UGGCUCAGUUGGUAGAGCAUCGUGUUUGCAACGCCAGCAUGGUGUGUGCAACGCCAGGGUUGUGGGUUCGAUUCCCAC